AACUAACAAGGAUUCCCCUAGUAACUGCGAGUGAAGCGGGAAAAGCUCAAAUUUAAAAUCUGUCAGUCUUUGGCUGUCCGAGUUGUAAUCUAGAGAAGUGUUAUCCGCGCUGGACCGUGUACAAGUCUCCUGGAAUGGAGCGUCAUAGAGGGUGAGAAUCCCGUCUUUGACACGGACUGCCAGGGCUCUGUGAUGCGCUCUCAAAGAGUCGAGUUGUUUGGGAAUGCAGCUCAAAAUGGGUGGUAAAUUCCAUCUAAAGCUAAAUAUUGGCGAGAGACCGAUAGCGAACAAGUACCGUGAGGGAAAGAUGAAAAGAACUUUGGAAAGAGAGUUAAACAGUACGUGAAAUUGCUGAAAGGGAAACGCUUGAAGUCAGUCGCGUUGUCCAGGGAUCAACCUUGCUUUUGCUUGGUGUACUUUCUGGUUGACGGGUCAGCAUCAAUUUUGACUGUUGGAAAAAGGUCAAGGGAAUGUGGCAUCUUUAGAUGUGUUAUAGCCCUUGGUUGCAUACAAUGGUUGGGAUUGAGGAACUCAGCACGCCGCAAGGCCGGGAUGUUAUCCACGUACGUGCUUAGGAUGCUGGCAUAAUGGCUUUAAUCGACCCGUCUUGAAACACGGACCAAGGAGUCUAACAUGCCUGCGAGUGUUUGGGUGGAAAACCCGAGCGCGUAAUGAAAGUGAAAGUUGAGAUCCCUGUCGUGGGGAGCAUCGACGCCCGGACCAGACCUUUUGUGACGGUUCCGCGGUAGAGCAUGUAUGUUGGGACCCGAAAGAUGGUGAACUAUGCCUGAAUAGGGUGAAGCCAGAGGAAACUCUGGUGGAGGCUCGUAGCGAUUCUGACGUGCAAAUCGAUCGUCAAAUUUGGGUAUAGGGGCGAAAGACUAAUCGA
rnacentral:rRNA from 2 species